UCAGUGAGGUCAGUGUGUAUAUUCAGAGCCAACACUGAGUGUGUGAAGUUGUUACUGAAGAAGAGAUGAAGACGCUGCACUUGGCUCUGAUUCUGCUCGUGCUGUCCGGUGUUCUCACUCAGGACAGAUGGAGUGUGAAAUAUCCUGAUAAACCGAUCUGUGCUGUGAGAGGAUUCAGUGUCUCCAUUCCCUGUAGUUAUUCUUAUCCACAAAAUCAUCAGGUGGAACAAAAGCUUUGGUGCUCGAUGAACUCAAACACAGAUUUCUGUUAUAAACCACCGUAUGUUUAUAACAGCUCAUCAAACACCAAGUCAGACUUUGAGUUCACUGGAGACGACAAAUCAGACUGCACUUUGUUAAUCCACAAUGUACAGUUCAGUUAUUCUGGAGAGUACAGAUUCAGAUUUAUAACUAAUGUGGACAGAUGGACAGGUGAUCCUGGAGUGACUCUACAAGUUACAGAUUUAAAGGUGUCACUAAUCAGGCUCAGUGGAAACGGAACCCUUAAACAAGGAGACUCGUUAAAUCUGAGGUGUGAUGUGAACUGUACACACACUUCCUCACAGUUUGUGUGGUCUAAGAACAACCAGCGCUUAAAUACAUCAGGACCUGUUCUUCCCUUUCCUGCUGUAACCGUGAGGGAUUCUGGGAAAUACACCUGCACUUGGGAAACCAACGUCACAUCAGGAUCUGAAACCAUCAGCCUUCAUGUCGAGGGUGACGCCCCUGAAAAUCCUGAACAUUGGUUAAUCUGGGUCAUUGUUUUGGUGAUUGCCGGAGUGAGUGUCCUCGUCUCAGUAGCUGUGAUUCACAACAGGAGGAGGAAAUUUAAAGCUCCAGAAGAAAUCGUGGGGGAAAGUGGAGAGAAAACACGGACAAAGCCACAGUUCAGCUCUCACGUUUCUCAUCUUACUGAUGAAGAAAUGUUGAACAAGGAGCAAGUGACUUACUCGUCUGUCCAAAAACAAGCAGCAACCGAAGGUUCACAGCUAAACCGAGACCCUCAGCCUGAUGAAGAAGAUGAAGAAGAUAAAGGAGGAGUGAUUUAUGCUCCUGUGUGGAUCAAACCCAACAAAGGAACCAAACAGUGUGGUCACACUGAGCAGCAGGAGGAGAACGAUCCUGUAAUCUACAGCAGUGUGAAAAUAACCUGAUGAUGCUUUCACACCUCAUUCAACCCCAGUGCAGAUGAGUUUUAUUUAAUCAUCAUCAUAAAACCUCAUCAGACAUUUUCACAGUGCAUGUAACUAUGGGUUUUGGGUUUUGGGUUCAUGAAUAUUAAUUAGGUGACAUCCACGAAAUGCACGGAUGAAUACAGUUUCUAUAGGUGCAAACUUUAUUUGCAUAUGACCAUCCUACGCUGAGAAAUUAGUUCCCAAGAUCAUCCCAAUAUAUUUGCUCUUUCCAACCAGCUACAGCCAAAAAGUUAUAUUUUCUGAAAGUAUAGAUUACGACCUUUCUUUCUUAUUUUUAGAAACAAAUGCUUUGCAUCUCGCAUUUACAUCUGAAUCCACGCUUCCCGAACGUUUGUCACUGCGUGGUGGCCUCGUUUAGUGAGAGAGUCGAACCACCAUUUUGUGUAAACUACUUUGCCGAGACGACAUUUUGUUUGCCGACAUAGGCGAAAAAUCCAUCUGUUCGAUCGAGGAAAUUUUUUAAUUUAACGAGUGAAUACUGCAUCAAAUUAUUCGGAAAAAAAUAUUUUUGAUAUAUAUGCAAUUAUUUACCACUAUUAGUACAUUUUUUAAAUGAAAAAAAAUUCAUAGACCACGACUGUACGUGGUGUUUUUGACAUCUUCUCUGCAAAUAUGUUCCAGGUUGUGUUUUAUAGCAAAUUAAAAUUAAAACACUGAUUACAGUGAAAAAAGUAAAGCCAGCAUUUCUUCUUGCCUCUGGCAUGAUCCCAGAAUGUAUGUAUUCAGGAAAGCAAUGGUUUUUCAAUGACCAUGUGAAAUAUCAGGAAAUUUAUACUUUAUUAUAUAGAGACAUGUUUUUUAAAUCUACAACAGUUAUGAAGUGAAACCUUAAAAAGUGUCUUUAAUCUGUAACGCUAAAACUUGACACCUUGAGUGUUUUUUAAUAAUGCCAAUUCAUAUCAUUUACUUGAUGUACAGCACACUCACUGUAACUUUGAAACUGUGAUGCCAAAUAUAACUACAACUACAUUGCAACAUGAUUUUACUGAAAAUGUACAUUUAUUACCAGAUUUAUUAAAAAUUUCAGCCCUAAAAGUUUUUACAAUACUUUACAAGACACUUUCAUUAAUUGUUUAUGUGAUUUGAUGUUUUACCUGUUGAAAAUGCUCUAGAUGAGUUGAUGGUCAUUUGUGAAAAUUUGUGGUUUUAUUUUAAAAACGAAAUUACAUUCAAAUUCUCAUAACUUUUGAUGUAGAAAAGAUAUUCAAACUAUUUUGGAAUUGUCUCAAUGAGAUCUUUCAGAAACAAGAAAAAUACAAAGUUGAAAAUAUGAUGGUGGUUGCUAAUUCUACCUCUUCUUCUUCUUCUUCUUCUUCUACUUCUUCUUCUUCUACUUCUUCUUCUUCUUCUUCUUCUUCUACUUCUUCUUCUGGCUUGUGGGUUCUUGGCAGCCCAUAGAUCUGUCUGGUAAAAGUGAUUGAGGAGGGUCUAAGGUGCAAUCUUAUCAAAUUUGGGCCAAGUGCAGUUAGCAUCACCAACGGGUCAAACUUGGGCCUAAUUUGUAAGUACAUGUUUAGUCCAAAAUUUUAAAGCCCUGGCAACUCACCCUAUGACAUCAGUGACCGCUUCAUUAGAUUUUACUCCAUCUUAGAUUUUGUCAAAAUCUGUUCUCGUUACUCCUCCGACAGAUUUUGACCAUUGGUCACCAAAUUUGGGAUACAUGACCAUCUUCUGAGUAAGCCUCACAAACCUAUUAAAAUCAUUUUAAAUACUCAAAACAGUUAGCCUGUAACGGGUCAACAAGAAACUUUAUGCACAAACACAAAGCUCUGCUUUCAGGAUUGUGACCUAAGGCUAUGCAACAGUUUUAAUGACAGCACCAUCUAUUGGUCAAAAGGUACAAUAACAUGCUUAAAAUUCCUACAUCUAAAGGCCUGGUCACACUACAAGACUUUAACCGUCGGCAGAUCACUUUGCUGUUCGGACUACAUGACUUCACUGUAUGUCUUUUUGUCCUUGUGGUGUUCACACUACGCGACACUUCGUAAAUGAUCCACAAGAGGGCGUCGCACAUCACACGAUCUGACAACAACUCUCAACCUGUUGACUUGCUCUCUCAUUGGCUGGAGGUCGUAGCUACAACUGACACCACGUGAUGUUGAGUCAGCCGACCGUCCCAGAUAUUUAACAUGCCAGAUAUCUGGAUUUUGUUUUGACCCAUCAGCGAGCCUCUUUGAUGCGUCGUUGAGUAGUUCACACAUAAAGAUUGCCGAGCACUGAUCACCCGCUGAUUUUCCCAUGAUCACAGACCGAUCUGUCGGCCAGCUCGUUAAUUUGCAAAUCGGGCUUAAAUUGGGCUUAAAAUCCUGUAGUGUGAACUAGGCUUAACUGACAUUAUUGCUCCUCGUCCUCCAAAUUUUCUUCAUCUUUACCAGAUUUGGCUCAGAUUUGAAUCAUCUGGACAUCUGGACAGAUGUCUAAACAUCAAAAUAUAUAGUGUCAGCAGUAGUGUCAGCUGCAGCAUAUAUAUAUAUGCUGCAGCGUUGCGGCUGGGCAACGAUUACAUUUUUUAAUCGCAGUUAUACGGAAAAUUGAACAGGUAGCCUAUCUAUCUAUCUAUCUAUCUAUCUAUCUAUCUAUCUAUCUAUCUGCCUACCCACCUAUCUAUCUAUCUAUCUAUCUAUCUAUCUAUCUAUCUAUCUAUCUAUCUAUCUAUCUAUCUAUCUAUCUAUCUAUCUAUCUAUCUAUCUAUCUAUCUAUCUAUCUAUCUAUCUAUCUAUCUAUCUAUCUAUCUAUCUAUCUAUCUAUCUAUCUAUCUAUCUAAAAUGAAAAUGUCCAUGUAAAAGUUUGGUGCUUUUCUACAUCUUUGUUUAUCCGCCGGUUCUAUUUCUUCUCCGGUUCUUCUGAGUGCCGCAGCAGUCUUACAGUCAUCCCAAAUGCUCUCAUUGGUUGAGACGUGUGAUGACGUUUAUCCCAAGCGAAUACGGAUCAAGAUCCCACCCUUCCCAUCACCCAUGGGUUCAAUAUGACGUCGGUCCACCCUUUGCAGCUAUAACAGCUUCAACUCUUCUGGGAAGGCUGUCCACAAGGUUUAGGAGUGUGUUUAUGGGAAUUUUUGACCAUUCUUCCAGAAGCGCAUUUGUGAGGUCACACACUGAUGUUGGACGAGAAGGCCUGGCUCUCAGUCUCCGCUCUAAUUCAUCCCAAAGGUGUUCUAUCGGGUUGAGGUCAGGACCCUGUGCAGGCCAGUCAAGUUCAUCCACACCAGACUCUGUCAUCCAUGUCUUUAUGGACCUUGCUUUGGUCACUGGUGCACAGUCAUGUUGGAAGAGGAAGGGGCCAGCUCCAAACUGUUCCCACAAAGUUGGGAGCAUGGAAUUGUCCAAAAUGUCUUGGUAUGCUGAAGCAUUCAGAGUUCCUUUCACUGGAACUAAGGGGCCAAGCCCAGCUCCUGAAAAACAACCCCACACCAUAAUCCCCCCUCCACCAAACUUUACACUUGGCACAGUGCAGUCAGACAAGUACCGUUCUCCUGGCAACCGCCAAACCCAGACUCGUCCAUCA